rnacentral:rRNA from 1 species
UACGUAGGGGGCAAGCGUUGUCCGGAAUUAUUGGGCGUAAAGAGCCCGUAGGCGGCCUGUCGCGUCGGAUGUGAAAGCCCGGGGCUCAACCCCGGGUCUGCAUUCGAUACGGGCAGGCUAGAGUGUGGUAGGGGAGAUCGGAAUUCCUGGUGUAGCGGUGAAAUGCGCAGAUAUCAGGAGGAACACCGGUGGCGAAGGCGGAUCUCUGGGCCAUUACUGACGCUGAGGAGCGAAAGCAUGGGGAGCGAACAGG